rnacentral:rRNA from 1 species
AGUUGAUCAUGGCUCAGGACGAACGCUGGCGGCGUGCCUAACACAUGCAAGUCGAGCGAGGGAGGGGCUCGGUCCCGAACCGAGCGGCGGACGGGUGAGUAACGCGUGAAUGAUCUGUCCCUCACAGGGGAAUAACACUUGGAAACAGGUGCUAAUACCGCAUAAGACCACGGUGCUGCAUGGCACUGAGGUAAAAGGAGCGAUCCGGUGAGGGGUGAGUUCGCGUCCGAUUAGCCAGUUGGCGGGGUAAGAGCCCACCAAAGCGACGAUCGGUAGCCGACCUGAGAGGGUGAUCGGCCACACUGGAACUGAGACACGGUCCAGACUCCUACGGGAGGCAGCAGUGGGGAAUAUUGGGCAAUGGGCGAAAGCCUGACCCAGCAACGCCGCGUGAGGGAAGAAGGUUUUCGGAUUGUAAACCUCUAUCGCAGGGGACGAAGGAAGUGACGGUACCCUGCAAGGAAGCCCCGGCUAACUACGUGCCAGCCGCCGC